UGGGGAAUUUUGGACAUGGGCGCAAGCCUGAUCCAGCAGCCGCGUGCAGGAAGAAGGCCUUCGGGUUGUAAACUGCUUUUGUACGGAACGAAACGGUCUGGGUUAAUACCCUGGACUAAUGACGGUACCGUAAGAAUAAGCACCGGCUAACUACGUG
rnacentral:rRNA from 1 species